CAGAUAUCAGAAGAUGAAGUUAGGUAAUGGCCAAAACCAGCUAUGUUUGAGGAGGGUACAUGCCUGGAGUCAUCCCACAUGCACAAGAGGCUGAGUCUUCUCAUCUAGACAACUAUUCCAUUUUGUAAGAGGUCCCUGAUUCUGGAAGCAGACAGAGGCCCGUGAAAGUGGAGCACAGCCCUGCAUCCCUGUAACCCCAGUUGCUGGGAGCUGAGACAGGAGAGCCACUCCAGCCCUGGAAAGGAGAUCAGUCCCGGCAAAAGCGACAACUGUGUUUCACACAUAUACAGGAAGGCUGAUUAAGCUCUUAAACUAAAUAGAUAUGUUAUUCAUUUGUAUAUUUCAAAAGUGGAUCUGCUCAAGUCCAGAAGAGGACAAGUUCAAGACCAACCUGGGUUACACAAUAAAAUUAAACGGAACAGAAUGGUGGAUCCUAACUAUAAUUUUAGUCUUCAGAAGAUCACCAAGAGUUCAAGGCCAGCCUCGACUUCAUAGUGAGUUCUAUGCCAGUUGUAGGAAGAAUGAUUCUUUGUAUUAAAAAAUGAAAACAGCAAGAGCCCCAAGUCAACUGAUUUAUUAAAUAUGUAGCA
rnacentral:lncRNA from 1 species